rnacentral:rRNA from 1 species
UACGUAGGGUGCAAGCGUUGUCCGGAAUUAUUGGGCGUAAAGAGCUCGUAGGCGGUUCGUCGCGUCGGCUGUGAAAUCCCGAGGCUCAACCUCGGGCCUGCAGUCGAUACGGGCGGACUUGAGUGUUGCAGGGGAGACUGGAAUUCCUGGUGUAGCGGUGAAAUGCGCAGAUAUCAGGAGGAACACCGGUGGCGAAGGCGGGUCUCUGGGCAACUACUGACGCUGAGGAGCGAAAGCGUGGGGAGCGAACAGG